rnacentral:misc_RNA from 1 species
GCGAAUGAGGCUGCGCGUGGCGCUGGCGUCGUCAGGCGUCCCGGCGGACACUCGGUGGCAGUUGUCAGACCCCUCCGGGGGGAAGCACUGCUGCGAGACUGUCCCGCUGGGACCGGCUGCAUUGAUGCCGGGGCUGGGUCAGCACCGGUUUCUAGCUGCGGGAGAAAUGUUUGGCUGGGUAGCUCGUUGUGGUGGUUCCUGCCUCGCCGAUGGCCCGCCGAAACUGCUGCCCGCCUGGAACCGAGGCGAGUUGGCAUCCCUUGCCCUUGCGGUGUGUGCCUGAAGGCUGGACGGCGUUGCGGCACUGCCGGGCCUCCCCUGGACUGCUUGCAGUGCCGGGGAUGUGCCUUGCCGGUGGUGCUGAAACGUGCGGUCACAAUGU